AUUGUCAUUUCACAAUAAACAGAAUCAUAUUAUGGAUUGCUGUCAUUAAAACUUAACAAACGAACCAUUUCUGGAGUUUUCUAUUAUUUAAUUUUCUAUAGAUUAAUAUGAAACAAAGCCAAAAUUUGUAAUAUUUUCAUCAUUAAUAUUUCAAUAAUAGACGAAAUCUUUAUUUAAAAAUUUCAAUGUGAAUUAAACAUGGAAGAGUUGAAGAUUUAAUUAAAAUUCGAAGAUUAAAUUUGUAAUUAAUACAGAAAUAUUUUCAUUGUUGUU